AAAACUGUUCUAUCCAUCAAGCCUUUUCCUUAGAUAUAAAAUUGUUUCAUGCUGAACACGCAGUAAAACAGUGUUACAAAGACAGUGUUCUGGUGGUAUGCUCAUAUCAGCCAAUGGAAUAAAUGAAUAAAUGAAGUGUAUGCAUUCGUGUCUAGCCGCGGCGGAGGCUCGAGGCGGCGACAGGUCCGGCUUGGUCGGCUCAGGUUCUCUUUCGGGUUGGGGUCGGCGAGGGGGGAUGUCUGUGCGCUGGGAACUUAAGCAAGACGAAAGAGACUUUGACGACUGGCUUAUGCAGACAUAAUUACAACCUCCUCCAUAUGUCAUUAACGGAGUUAUUUAUUUAUUUCUUAUUUGCUUGAGGAUAAGGUAUGGGCACACAUUGAGGUCAAAGAUCACACAUUUGAUUAAGUAUCAUAAUUUGGCCAUGAUUUAACUAUGCUUGACAGGAUUCUGUAAUAAUUUGAUAUCAUUGUGCCCCUUUAUCUGGAUGUGUCACAUGUAAAACUCAGAGUGUCAAGGUAACACACUGAGGUAAAAUGUGACACAUUUUGAUUAAAUAUUCAUUUUUCGAAUUCUACCAUUUAUCUGAGUUGUAUUUAUUACAACUCCACUCGUGUAUGUACCUAUGCCUCAGACAGACCAAUAACAUAACCAUGCAUGUUUAAACUUUUUGUAGUGAACUUCUGCCGAAUGUUUCUUGAUUCAAUUUACACGUUCAACAUUUAAACACAUCUUGUCUCAUUUAACUGUAUUUAUUAUUUCAAAAUUGUUUGUUAUGAAAUUCAUUUAAAUUUUUAACUGUUUAUUCCUUAAACAUUAAUUUCAGCAAUAUAUUUCCAACAGACUAUCAAUGCCUACAGCGCUUUGAUUCCCGAAGGCCGGAUACAGAUCAGGAAGAUUGGAUUUCGGGCAGGAGUUUUCCCAAGCAUGGAUUCAGAGCCAAGUAAACGCAACGGCACAUGGAAGUUCACACUUUACUUCGAUACCGAAGCUGCCUUCAAAGUGACCGACAAAUACGACAACAUUAAAGGAGAGGACCUUAUGACCAAAUAUAAAUCUCUUGUCGGUGUUGAUGAGGAUAUUUUACGUGUCAAUGUGUAUGAAGUACCCUUGUAUAAAUGGCAAAUAACUAAACCACUUUUAUUCCAUAUGUUCGUCGUCUUUGAAACGCAAAAUUGGUGGUGGUCAAUUGACAAAGAUUCGAAUGGCAUCACUCUACAGCGAAGUAAACGUUCAGAUGCUGCACUAUAUACAAUCAGACAGAAACGGCGUCUACCAGGCGUACAAAUGAUGCUCCGCGACGAAGGAAAUAUGAGCAUGCACACCCUUUUAUAUCGGCUGUAUCUAGCGGGGGAGUUAAAGAAGGAAUACGACAACAACGAUAGAAACUGCAAACACUUUGCUACAUCUGUAUUCAAUAAGGUUGCAAAAAAUAAGGAAAUUGUCUCUGUACAUUAUACAGCCUUUAAAAGAUAAAGGUCGGACAACAUUAAAGCUGCGACGAAAAAAAAAGAAUAAAUUGUUCGGAUACAAAUUAAGCUUUUACUUCAUUUUUAGAUCCGGAUAUUUUUACUAAUUUCAU